GAAAAAAAAAAUCUUAGAUUUCUAUGUCGGACUUUGACUGUCCGUCUUAUAUAAAAUUUUUUUAUAAUUUGUAUUUUUAUUGUUGUUAGAUGAUAAAACAUGAUUUUAUACGUGACUUGUCUUUUUAAUUUUUUUAUAAUUUUUUUAAAUAAGUCGGACAGUCAAAUAUUAGACACGGAAAUUAGGAUGGGUUUGUC
rnacentral:pre_miRNA from 1 species